CAGAGACAAACGGGGGCAUUUGUAUGGUCCCGUGAGAGGUGAAAUUCUUGGACCGUGGCCAGACAAACUACAGCGAAAGCAUUUGCCAAGAAUGUUUUUAUUAAUCAAGAACGAAAGUCAGAGGUUCGAAGGCGAUCAGAUACCGCCCUAGUUCUGACCGUAAACGAUGCCAACUAGCGAUCCGCCGAUGGAAAUUAUAUUGCCUUGGUGGGGAGCUUCCCGGAAACGAAAGUCUUCCGGUUCCGGGGGAAGUAUGGUUGCAAAGCUGAAACUUAAAGGAAUUGACGGAAGGGCACCACCAGGAGUGGAGCCUGCGGCUUAAUUUGACUCAACACGGGGAAACUCACCCGGCCCGGACACUGUGAGGAUUGACAGAUUGAUAGCUUUUUCAUGAUUCAGUGGAUGGUGGUGCAUGGCCGUUCUUAGUUCGUGGAGUGAUUUGUCUGGUUUAUUCCGAUAACGAGCGAGACUCUAACCUACUAAAUAGUUGGUGCAUACUCUUUGUGUAUACAGCUUCUUAGAGGGAUUUGCGGCGUUCAGCCGAAAGAAAUUGAGCAAUAACAGGUCUGUGAUGCCCUUAGAUGUCCGGGGCUGCACGCGCGCUACACUGGCAAAAUCAACGUGCUUGUCCUACCCUGAAAGGGGCGGGUAAACCAUUGAAAAUUUGCCGUGAUUGGGAUCGGAAAUUGCAAUUAUUUUCCGUGAACGAGGAAUUCCAAGUAAGUGCGAGUCAUCAGCUCGCGUUGAUUACGUCCCUGCCCUUUGUACACACCGCCCGUCGCUGCCCGGGACUGAGCCAUUUCGAGAAAUUUGGGGACCGUUGAUUUAAUUUUUCUAAAUUACUUUGAUGGA
rnacentral:rRNA from 1 species